rnacentral:piRNA from 1 species
UAGCCUGGUUAAGGAAGUCUACCCCACC